CGCGGCUCGGGGCUCCCGGAGGCGGCGGCGGAGGCGGAGGCCCGGAGUUGGGCCGGGACGGGAUCCGGGAGGCUUCUGAGCCGGAGCAGGCAGCGCCUGGAGGCCAGAGGCCGUUCGCCCGCCUCAGGCCGGUCGGCCGCCGCUCCCCUCCCCUGCGCCCUGUUCCCGGCAGGGCCAGAGAGGCCGCCGCCUCCGCCCGGUGGUUCUCGGGCGAAGGGAAGCCGCGAAGCAGGUCCUGGGGAAGAGCUCGCCUGCUCCUGAGGGAAGCAGCGAUAAGAUGGCGCUUUGAAGGGGAGCCGAGGCCGAGUCACUCUGUUCGUCGGGACGCCGCCUUUCUAACGCCGCCGUCGGCUCGCACCACUCUGGGCCUGCUGCCCACACUGACUGCGGGGUCCGGGAGAGCGGGAUGCUGGCCGGCCGCGCCUGGCUUCUUGGAAAGAGCAGGAAGGAGCGCGAGAAUGCAGUUCCGCGGCAGAAACCUCUGUAGAGGAGCAGGAUGCAACCGACAGGCUGUGGCCGGACAGCUGCUGCCCAGCACAUGGAGCCUGCACGCGCACGGUUUGGCCAAAGAAGCCCCCAUACUCCCGGUGAAAAAGAUGGAGUCUUGCUCUGUUGCCCAGGCUGGAGUACAAUGAUGUGUUCUCAGCUCACUGCAACCUCCCUCUCCCAGGUUCAAGUGAUCUCCUGCCUCAGCCUCUGGAGUAGCUGGGAUUACAGAUUUCCAGAAGCUGUUCUGUCAAUAACAAAGUCUCAAAGAAAACCACAAAACCACCAACACUAAGAUCAUUCUUGAGUCCAAUUUGAAAAACUAGGGUCAAGUUCUGCAGAGGCAUUGAAAGGACAAGAAACCACCCUGAUACCCAUCGUGUGAGGGAAAAUGCUCUAUUCACCAUUCCUCAGCUUCUGCUUCUGGUUUCAGAGUUCUCUCUAUAUUGGAGGGUGUUUUAAAGCUAGAGUGGUCUUUAUCCACUUUUAUUAACACAUCUGAAUGUGAAGGUCAAGAGAGGAAAGUGAUAUGUCCUAAGUCAGAGUAGAGUCAACAAGAAAAUAAGACAAACAGCGACUGAGCCCCUGGUGUAUACUGGGCAUUGGCCAGCUACUGGGGAUAUGGAGAUGAAGAAAACAUAACCCUUCUUCAAGGAGCCCAACCUACCAAGGUAGACAGACAUAUAGACAAAUAGAUACUUGCAUAGAAAAAAAGAGGAAAAGGGGAUCAGUGUGACCUGUGUAACUAAGUACCCUAUAAACCCUCCUGCAACAGAUCAUAUUGCCCUUUAUAGUGGGGAUGGUAAUCCCAUCUGAAUUCCACAGGUACUUUGCAGUCAUACCACACCCAUGUGUCUGUCGGUCCUGACUGUACCAUUUAUAAACAGCUUCACUUUCAGCAGUUCUCAGCCCUCUUAAGCUAGGGUCAUUGUCAGUAGGGAUACUGCUUCAUAAGCACCAGCAGAACACCAAAGGAGACCAUAUGGGUGAAAGCAACCAGCACUG
rnacentral:lncRNA from 10 species